UAACCUGCCCUGUACAGGGGGAGUAACAGUCAGAAAUGACUGCUAAUACCGCAUAAGACCACAGCACCGCAUGGUGCAGGGGUAAAAACGUACCGGUGGUACAGGAUGGACCCGCGUCUGAUUAGCUGGUUGGUGAGGUAACGGCUCACCAAGGCGACGAUCAGUAGCCGGCUUGAGAGAGUGAACGGCCACAUUGGGACUGAGACACGGCCCAAACUCCUACGGGAGGCAGCAUG
rnacentral:rRNA from 1 species